AUUGAACGCUGGCGGCAGGCCUAACACAUGCAAGUCGAACGAGUGGCGGACGGGUGAGUAAUGUAUGGGAAUCUGCCUGAUGGAGGGGGAUAACUACUGGAAACGGUAGCUAAUACCGCAUACUAUCAGAUGUGCCCAGAGGGGAUUAGCUAGUAGGUGGGGUAAGUGCUCACCUAGGCGACGAUCCCUAGCUGGUCUGAGAGGAUGACGAGCAACACUGGGACGGAGAAACGGCCCAGCCUCCUACGUGAGGCAGCAGUGGGGAAUAUGGCACAAUGGGCGAAAGCCUGAUGCAGCCAUGCCGCGUGUGUGAAGAAGGCCUUGGGGUUGUAAAGCACUUUCAGCGGGGAGGCGGUACUCGCAGAAGAAGCACCGGCUAACUCCGUGCCAGCAGCCGCGGUAAUAC
rnacentral:rRNA from 1 species